rnacentral:rRNA from 1 species
CGUGUAGGCGGAGAUGCAAGUCAGAUGUGAAAUUUCGGGGCUCAACCCCGAACCUGCAUUUGAAACUGUAUCCCUUGAGUGUCGGAGAGGCAAGCGGAAUUCCUAGUGUAGCGGUGAAAUGCGUAGAUAUUAGGAGGAACACCAGUGGCGAAGGCGGCUUGCUGGACGAUAACUGACGCUGAGGCGCGAAAGCGUGGGGAGCAAACA